AUGUGCAGGUGGCGGUGGGGGAAGUAUCCGAGGGCAUGGAGGAACCUGGCGGUGGGAUGCAGCAGUGCGCUGCCGGCCGUACCUUUCGGUGGUGGAAGGAGGCCGCGGCGGCGAGAUAAAACAACAGGGAGGGGUCGGAUGGCACAACGGCGGGGGCGCACGUCGGUGCGUGGCGGUGACAGGAGGCGGCGGCCGUGGUCCGACGGUCGCCGUCGAAGAGGCGCGCGAAGUCUCAUGCUCGACCAGCCAUGGCUCCCGCCCGGUGAAGGGCGUGCAGCUCGCCAGGGCCCAGCCGGUUGGGGCCGAGGCGAGGGUGCCGGCAGCGCCGCCGGUUAG
rnacentral:rRNA from 1 species